rnacentral:tRNA from 1 species
GCCUGGGUGGCUCAGUGGGUUGAGCGUCUGACUUAGGCUCAGGUCGUGACCUGGCGGUCUGUGGUCUGUGAGUUUGAGCCCCGCAUCAGGCU